AGUGAACGCUGGCGGUAGGCCUAACACAUGCAAGUCGAACGGCAGCACAGUAAGAGCUUGCUCUUACGGGUGGCGAGUGGCGGACGGGUGAGGAAUACAUCGGAAUCUACUUUUUCGUGGGGGAUAACGUAGGGAAACUUACGCUAAUACCGCAUACGACCUACGGGUGAAAGCAGGGGAUCUUCGGACCUUGCGCGAUUGAAUGAGCCGAUGUCGGAUUAGCUAGUUGGCGGGGUAAAGGCCCACCAAGGCGACGAUCCGUAGCUGGUCUGAGAGGAUGGUCAGCCACACUGGAACUGAGACACUGUCCGGACUCCUACGGGAGGCAGCAGUGGGGAAUAUUGGACAAUGGGCGCAAGCCUGAUCCAGCCAUACCGCGUGGGUGAAGAAGGCCUUCGGGUUGUAAAGCCCUUUUGUUGGGAAAGAAAAGCAGCAGGUUAAUACCCCGCUGUUCUGACGGUACCCAAAGAAUAAGCACCGGCUAACUUCGUG
rnacentral:rRNA from 1 species